rnacentral:rRNA from 1 species
GACGAACCGAGCGAACGUUGUUCGGAAUCACUGGGCUUAAAGGGCGAGUAGGCGGUAGGGCAAGUCUGAGGUGGAAUCCUAUGGCUCAACCAUAGAACUGCCUUGGAAACUGUUCUACUUGAGUCAGUGAGGGGAGGGCGGAAUUCCCGGUGUAGCGGUGAAAUGCGUAGAUAUCGGGAGGAAGGCCGGUGGCGAAGGCGGCCCUCUGGCGCUGUACUGACGCUGAGGCGCGAAAGCGUGGGGAGCAAACAGG